rnacentral:rRNA from 1 species
GACGAACGCUGGCGGCGUGCUUAACACAUGCAAGUCGAACGGAAAGGCCCUGCUUUUGUGGGGUGCUUGAUUGGCGCACGGGUGAGUAACACGUGUGUAUACUGCCCUUAACUUUGGGAUAACUUCUGGAAAAUGGGGCUCUUACCGGAUAGGAGCUCCUGCUGCACGGUGGGGGUUGGUAAGUUUCGGCGUUUGUGGAUGGACUCGCGGCUUAUCCGCUUGUUGGUGGGGUAGUGGCUUACCAAGGCUUUGACGGGUAGCCGGCCUGAGAGGCGGACCGGCCACAUUGCGACUGAGGUACGGCCCAGACGCCUAUGUUACGCAGCAGUGGGGAGUAUUGCAGAGUGGGGCGGAGCCAGUGGUGACGAUGCCGCGUGCGGGAUAACGUCUUUCGGGUGGGAAACCGAUUUGGCCUGAGCUGAGGCGAGAGUGACGGUAAUGGGUCAAGAAGCACCGGCUAACUACGUG